rnacentral:misc_RNA from 1 species
UGUACACACCGCCCGUCACACCAUGGAAGUUAGCCACGCCCGAAGUCGUUACUCCAACCCUUGUGGAGGGGGACGCCGAAGGUGGGGCUGAUGACUGGGGUGAAGUCGUAACAAGGUAGCCGUACCGGAAGGUGCGGCUGGAUCACCUCCUAACAGGGAGACAAAUGAGAUAUUGAUGUCUGAGCCAAUUUGAGCUUAGGCCGAUAUCCUGUCAUCUCGAAGGUCGAUCAGUACCUCAAGGAAAGGUCCGCUGAAACAGCGGAAGUCUUUCUUUCAGUUUCUCAACUUCUGUCUAGGUCGCCCCAAUUGUCUUGUCUCCUGGGCCAUUAGCUCAGGUGGUUAGAGCGCACCCCUGAUAAGGGUGAGGUCCCUGGUUCAAGUCCAGGAUGGCCCAUUCGUGUUUGGGGGUUUAGCUCAGUUGGUAGAGCGCCUGCUUUGCAAGCAGGAUGUCAGCGGUUCGAGUCCGCUAACCUCCAUCAACACAUUAGGGCAGCGGACUUCUAAACCACAGGAGCGGAACCUGUGGGAGACCUGGACGUGGACUGGUGAAUUGAUUCCAGCAUCCUUUCAUUCCCAAGAGUUGUUUUGACAACGGAGAUGGGUUGAAACGACGCUGGAUUCAACGGUGAUGGAUGCGAAGGCAUGAGUCACCGUAGAUUCAGCGGAACCUUGACAACUGCAUAGGUGAGUCUGGAAAAAAGCAUCUCAUAGAUGCCCAGGAGCGAGAGCACCUGGGAACAAUUCUAGAGUAAGAGAGCCGAGGAUUUAGUGUAAAGACUAAGCCACCGAAAGGUGGUGAGGAAUGAACGCUAGAUCGAAAUGGUCAAGCUACAAAGGGCUCACGGUGGAUACCUAGGCACACAGAGA